ACUGGGCCUGGAGGUUUAACGUU
rnacentral:piRNA from 1 species